rnacentral:tRNA from 1 species
UCCCUGGUGGCUCAGAGGUUAAAGCAUCUGCCUGCAAUGUAGGAGACCUGGGUUCGAUACCUGGGUUGGGAA